CUACGGGACGCAGCAGUGAGGAAUUUUGCGCAAUGGGGGAAACCCUGACGCAGCAACGCCGCGUGAGUGAAGAAGGCUUUCGGGUCGUAAAGCUCUGUCAGAUAGGAAAAAAGUUCAUAUGUAAAUAGCUUAUGAAUCUGAUGGUACUAUCAGAGGAAGCACCGGCUAACUCCGUGCCAGCAGCCGCGGUAAUACGGAGGGUGCAAGCGGUGUUCGGAAUUACUGGGCGUAAAGGGCGUGUAGGCGGUAUGGUAAGUCAGAUGUGAAAGCCCUGGGCUUAACUCAGGAAGUGCAUUUGAUACUGCCAUCCUUGAGUAUGGGAGAGGAGAGUAGAAUUCCCAGUGUAGAGGUGAAAUUCGUAGAUAUUGGGAGGAAUACCCGUGGCGAAGGCGACUCUCUGGACCAAUACUGACGCUGAGACGCGGAAGCGUGGGGAGCAAACAGGAUUAGAUACCCCUGUAGUC
rnacentral:rRNA from 1 species